rnacentral:rRNA from 1 species
AUUGAACGCUGGCGGCAUGCUUUACACAUGCAAGUCGAACGGCAGCGCGGGGGCAACCCUGGCGGCGAGUGGCGAACGGGUGAGUAAUGCAUCGGAACGUAUCCUGUAAUGGGGGGAUAACGUAGCGAAAGUUACGCUAAUACCGCAUACGCUCGAGAGAGGAAAGUGGGGGAUCGCAAGACCUCACGUUAUAGGAGCGGCCGAUGUCCGAUUAGCUAGUUGGUAGGGUAACGGCCUACCAAGGCCACGAUCGGUAGCUGGUCUGAGAGGAUGAUCAGCCACACUGGGACUGAGACACGGCCCAGACUCCUACGGGAGGCAGCAGUGGGGAAUAUUGGACAAUGGGCGCAAGCCUGAUCCAGCAAUGCCGCGUGUGUGAAGAAGGCCUGCGGGUUGUAAAGCACUUUCAGUGGGGAAGAACGGAUACGGGCCAAUACCCCGCAUCACUGACGUUACCCACAGAAGAAGCACCGGCUAACUACGUGCCAGCAGCCGCGGU